GGCCCUCCUCCCUGCUGCUCAUCCGGACUGCACACAUUGCUUCAGCAUUCGCAGCCCAACUUACAAAAUCUGAACAAUUCAGAACUUGACUGUUGCCACCAGCUUUUGAAAAAGAAAAUCCGUUUGGGAGUUAGUUAAUUGAACAGCUUCACCAAUGCAAGCAAAACCAGAAGCAUAUAUCAAGGCCACGACUGUGACUAUAAUAUUCUUUCUGAAAAGCAAUACUUCCAGCAUGAAAUGAUAAAUAACAUUCAAUUAUAAAUUUUGGAAGAGGACAUCAAAUAUCCUGUUAGGAUAGUAGUUUGCACUGAAUCACAUCAUCAUCUGAAGAGAAUUUUGUGCCCAGACACUUCAUAAAUCUUUGAAAACUACAAAAUCUUACUCCAAUGAAAGUCAACAUUUUUCACUAAAAAUGUAGUCUAUCAUCACUACGUCACCAAUUUCUAAGGCCUCAUUAACUCUACUGUACAGCAAAGAGAGCAGAUGAGAACACCUCCCUCAAGCUCUACAGGAUCUUCUCAUUUUUCUGACUCAUGCAAUGAAAAGUGCACAUUGCAAAGUGGCAAUGAAACAAAAAGAAGAUAAACUCAGUCCUGGGUACAAAACUUUUAUAAUUACUUCUGGGGAGAUGAAAAACAAACAAACAAACAAACCACAAAAAAAAGUGUCUUUUUCUGUCCCUUUCUUUCCUGUCUCUUUCUUUCAUGUGUCAUCCCAAACUCAGUAUAUUCAGGCUGCUAUCCUCUUUGCCACUUUCCUGCUUUGAGAAGAUCCUACCUCGCAGCCAGACGUUGUCACAUGCAACAGACACACUCAGCAGAAUCAGCAGCCCCACAGAACAAGCUGAGGAUGACAGGUUUCCCUGGACUGAGCCAGCAAUUCCAUUCUCAGAAAAAAAAAAAACAAAACUGAAUACAAAAGGUGGAUUCAGAUUUCAAAUACUGGUGAACGCUCAUUCCUCAGAACAGGAGUAAUCCUAACAACUUCCUAGUCCAAAAAGCACAAGCUGUCCAAGAGCAUAGCAGUUACAAAGAUAAAAUUUCAGGAUUCUGCAAGAAUAUGAUCCUCUAUCACCCAUCUACUACUACCUCUAAGAAAAAAAAAAAAAAAGAAUAAAAAAACUGUCUAAGAAUUACUUCUGCCAUUCUAUUUUUGCAAUUGAAGAACUUUCAGUUUUAGGAAAACCACAGUGCCUUCCUCACAGAGAAAAUGACAUUGCUCAGCUCUGGGCAAACACCAGGUGCCCACUUUGGGCUGGGCCUGGUGAAGGAAGGCCGUGCAGGGAGGGCUGCCUCUGUCACAGCGAUGUUAUGGUGCAUCCCACUGCUGUGGGUGAAGACAACUUUUGAACAGCCACUCUCCAUGCCUGAUGGAUUACAUCUGGCUUCAGAAACCCCAGGGAACAAUGCUUUUUUGCAAAAAGAACAUCCUCUUGAUGGCCAAAAAAAUAUAUAGUCAUCAUUUUUCCAGGCAACGGAGAUUGGGAUUUUAAUUCUUUUACUGUAUCUUUACUUGCUGUCCCUGGGUUUGAAUGAAGCAGAAUUUCUAAAAAGAUAGGGAAGAGUAUUAGAGACAUUCUGUAGAAUUCCCAUUCCACACAAAAUCAAUUGUAACAUAGUAUUUCUUUAACACAUGCCUAGGAAGAUGGUGGGGAAAGAGAUUACUCCACAGCAUCAGCAAAGCCCUGAGGUGUGGCUUCCUUUGUUAUCAGUUCAGCAGUGCUGAUGUGGGCCUGGAGCUUUUGCCAAGUCAUGUAUUUAUAACUGUGAGAAAUUUUUAUGGCAUUAUGUUAAUAAAAUUCAGUAGCUUGCA